AUUGAACGCUGGCGGCAUGCCUUACACAUGCAAGUCGAACGGUAACAGGUCUUCGGGUGCUGACGAGUGGCGAACGGGUGAGUAAUACAUCGGAACGUGCCUAGUAGUGGGGGAUAACUACUCGAAAGAGUGGCUAAUACCGCAUGAGAUCUACGGAUGAAAGCAGGGGAUCGCAAGACCUUGUGCUACUAGAGCGGCCGAUGGCAGAUUAGGUAGUUGGUGGGAUAAAAGCUUACCAAGCCGACGAUCUGUAGCUGGUCUGAGAGGACGAUCAGGCACGCUGGGAGUGAGACACGGCCCAGACUCCUACGGGAGGCAGCAGUGGGGAAGUUUGGACAAUGGGCGAAAGCCUGAUCCAGCAAUGCCGCGUGCAGGAUGAAGGACUUCGGGUUGUAAACUGCUUUUGUACGGAACGAAAAGCCCCGGGUUAAUACCCUGGGGUCAUGACGGUACCGUAAGAAUAAGCACCGGCUAACUACGUGCCAGCCGCCGCCGUAA
rnacentral:rRNA from 1 species